rnacentral:rRNA from 1 species
UACAGAGGUCCCAAGCGUUGCUCGGAUUCACUGGGCGUAAAGGGUGCGUAGGCGGUUGGGUAAGUCUGAUGUGAAAUCUCACAGCUUAACUGUGAAACUGCAUUGGAUACUAUCCGGCUAGAGGAAUGGAGGGGAGACUGGAAUACUUGGUGUAGCAGUGAAAUGCGUAGAUAUCAAGUGGAACACCAGUGGCGAAGGCGAGUCUCUGGACAUUUCCUGACGCUGAGGCACGAAAGCCAGGGGAGCAAACGGG